UACAGAGGUCUCAAGCGUUGUUCGGAUUCAUUGGGCGUAAAGGGUGCGUAGGCGGCGCGGUACGUCGGGUGUGAAAUCUCGGGGCUUAACUCCGAAACUGCAUUCGAUACUGCCGUGCUUGAGGACUGGAGAGGAGACUGGAAUUCUCGGUGUAGCGGUGAAAUGCGUAGAUAUCGAGAGGAACACCUGCAGCGAAGGCGGGUUGCUGGGCCGACACUGACGCUGAUGCGCGAAAGCCAGGGGAGCGAACGGG
rnacentral:rRNA from 1 species